GACGAACGCUGGCGGCGUGCUUAACACAUGCAAGUCGAACGGAAAGGCACUGCUUUUGUGGGGUGAUCGAGUGGCGAACGGGUGCGUAACACGUGUGUAACCUGCCCUUGACUUUGGGAUAACUUCAGGAAACUGGGGCUAAUACCGGAUAGGAGAUCCUCCUGCAUGGAGGGGGUUGGAAAUUCUCGGCGGUUGGGGAUGGAUUCGCGGCUUAUCAGCUUGUUGGUGGGGUAGUGGCAUACCCAGGCAUUGACGGGUAGCCGGCCUGAGAGGGUGACCGGCCACAAUGGGACUGAGAGACGGCGCAGACGCCUACGGGGGGCAGCAGUGGGGAAUAUUGCACAGUGGGCGGAAGCCUGAUGCAGCAACGCCGGGUGCGGGAUGACGGCCUGCUGGUUAUGAACCGCUUUCGCCUGUGACGAAGCGUUAGUGACGGUAAUGAGUAAAGAAGCACCGGCUAACUACGUG
rnacentral:rRNA from 1 species